CUCCAUAUAUACAAAUCACAACAACAUGAAAAAAUGAAUUUGAAAAAUUGAAAAAGAAAGUAACCCAAAUAUUGAAAUUUAAAACUACAUUCUCUUCUUCUCUAAAUGCCUAACAAGAAUGUUGUAAGUUUUGAUUACUCAAUUCAACCAAACGAGUGUUUAAGGGAAUGGCAAUGAUAAAUUUUAGGGUUUCACGAAUGGGAGAAUAUGAUAAGAAAAUGAGAAUAAUUACAUAGAAAUGUCGUAUCGACUGUGGAAGAAGGGAAGUCAAAAUUGAAUUAAGACCAAUUAGAAAUUGAAAGGAGAAUUAUGGGCAUUAUGUCUUUUUAAAUACAAGGACGUUUUAGUAAUUUACAAAUUGUACUUUCCCGUUCUUUGGUUGUUAACAUCUCUCUCUCUCUCGUUUAACAUUCUUUUCAAACUUUACGAAACAUCUACUUUUCGUGCACUCGAUCUAACCUCACGUUCACUCAAUUACCUAACCUUCCAUCUAGACGAAAUUCUUAGAACACUGUUUUUAACGAAGAUACGUAAUUCUAGUGCGACACAUCGAGCAUAGCAUAAGAGAAAUCGCAAAUAAAAUAAAUGAAUUCAUAAAAACAUUAACUUCACACAUCAUUGAUUUAAAAAAAUAAGUUGCUAUACAUAUCUAUAGUAUAUUAAAUAUCACAUCAAGUGAAUCAUUUUUUGAACAAUUAUAUCUUAC
rnacentral:lncRNA from 1 species